UCUGUAUCAUUUGUAUAUUGAUUGACAUGCAGGGCACCUUUGUUGAGGGAAUAAAGGAAGAGGUUGUACUCUCCCCUGCUCAUGCACUCUCUCUUAUUGCAGCUGGAGAAGAGCACAGACAUGUUGGGUCCACAAACCUUAACUUACUCAGCAGCAGGAGCCAUACAAUAUUUACCCUGGUUACACAAUUCAAGACAAAUGAGAAAUUGAUUUGUAUGGAGAGUCGCUUUUAGCUAUGGAGGAGAAAUAGAUUCUUAGUUAUAGAUAGUAUAUUGUUGUUUUGAGAAUUUGGUUGUAAAUUCUUAAUUUCAGGAACAAUAUUAAAUACUAGUGAUGUUUUUGUA